rnacentral:rRNA from 1 species
GUCCAUGCCGUAAACGUUGGGCACUAGGUGUGGGUUCCAACCAACGGAAUCCGCGCCGUCGCUAACGCAUUAAGUGCCCCGCCUGGGGAGUACGGCCGCAAGGUUAAAACUCAAAGGAAUUGACGGGGGCCCGCACAAGCAGCGGAGCGUGUUGCUUAAUUCGAUGCUACGCGAAGAACCUUACCUGGGCUUGACAUGUGGGGAAAAGCACUAGAGAUAGUGUGUCCUUCGGGGCCGUCACACAGGUGGUGCAUGGCUGUCGU